rnacentral:rRNA from 1 species
ACUGCUCAGUAACACGUGGACAACCUACCCCUCAGCACGGGGAUAAACCCGGGAAACUGGGUAUAAUACCCGAUAGUUCUGGGAAGCUGGAAUGCUCCCAGGACGAAAGCUCCGGCGGCCGAGGAUGGGUCUGCGGCCUAUCAGGUAGUAGUGGGUGUAACGUACCUACUAGCCUACGACGGGUACGGGUUGUGAGAGCAAGAGCCCGGAGAUGGAUUCUGAGACACGAAUCCAGGCCCUACGGGGUGCAGCAGGCGCGAAAACUUUACAAUGCUGGCAACAGCGAUAAGGGGACCUCGAGUGCCAGGAUACAAUCUUGGCUGUCGUGAUGCCUAAAAAGCAUUGCAUAGCAAGGGCCGGGCAAGACCGGUGCCAGCCGCCGCGGUAACACCGGCGGCUCGAGUGGUAACCGCUAUUAUUGGGUCUAAAGGGUCUGUAGCCGGCCGGAUAAGUCUUUUGGGAAAUCCAGCUGCUCAACAGUUGGGCUUUCAGAAGAUACUGUUCGGCUCGAGGCCGGGAGAGGUGAGAGGUACUUCAGGGGUAGGGGUGAAAUCUUGUAAUCCUUGAAGGACCACCAGUGGCGAAGGCGUCUCACCAGAACGGACCUGACGGCAAGGGACGAAAGCUAGGGGCACGAACCGGAUUAGAUACCCGGGUAGUCCUAGCCGUAAACGAUACUCGCUAGGUGUCAGCCACGGUGCGACCGUGGUUGGUGCCGUAGGGAAGCCGUGAAGCGAGCCACCUGGGAAGUACGGCCGCAAGGCUGAAACUUAAAGGAAUUGGCGGGGGAG